rnacentral:rRNA from 1 species
AGCGAACGCUGGCGGCAGGCUUAACACAUGCAAGUCGAGCGGGCAUCCUUGUGGUGUCAGCGGCAGACGGGUGAGUAACGCGUGGGAACGUGCCCUUCGGUUCGGAAUAACUCAGGGAAACUUGAGCUAAUACCGGAUACGUGCGAGAGCAGAAAGGUUUAUCUGCCGAAGGAUCGGCCCGCGUCUGAUUAGCUAGUUGGUGAGGUUACGGCUCACCAAGGCGACGAUCAGUAGCUGGUCUGAGAGGAUGAUCAGCCACACUGGGACUGAGACACGGCCCAGAAUCCUACGGGAGGCAGCAGUGGGGAAUAUUGGACAAUGGGGGCAACCCUGAUGCAGCCAUGCCGCGUGAGUGAUGACGGCCUUAGGGUUGUAAAGCUCUUUUCUCCGGGACGAUAAUGACGGUACCGGAGGAAUAAGCCCCGGCUAACUUCGUG